GUCUUUUAUUGAUAAUAUUUAAAAGUCUGACCUGCCCAGUGAUUAUUGGUUUAACGGCCGCAGUAUUUUGACUGUGCUAAGGUAGCAUAAUCAUUAGUUUUUUAAUUGAGGACUGGAAUGAAAGGUUGAAUGGAAAAAUAACUGUCUUCAUAUUAAUUUUUUGAAUUUUACUUUUAAGUUAAAAGGCUUAAAUUAAAUUAAAAGACGAGAAGACCCUUUAGAGUUUAAUGUAAUUAUUAUAUUUAGAUUUAUUGGGAUAAAUUAUUUUAUAGUUUUAUAUUUGAUUGGGGUGAUUAUUAAAUUGAAUUAACUUUAAUUUUUAAGUACAUUGAUUUAUGAAAUAAUGAUCCUUAAUUAGGGAUUAUUAGAUUAAAUUACCUAAGGGAUAACAGCGUAAUUUUUCUAGAGAGUUCAAAUCGAUAGAGAAGAUUGCGACCUCGAUGUUGGAUUAAAAUAUGUAGCUAGGUGAAGAAGCUAGUUAACUUGGUCUGUUCGACCGAUAAAAUUUUACA
rnacentral:rRNA from 1 species